CUUGGAGAUUUGAAAGAAAAUGAAAACAAAAUUAUGAGGAAAAUGGCAAUAGCAGCCUUAUGGUGCAUACAGAUGAAGCCCACGGAUCGGCCUUCAAUGAACAAAGCCUUGAAGAUGCUUGAAAGUGAAGUUGAGAUCCUUGAAAUGCCUCCCAAGCCUUCUUUCUCUCUAAAUGUCAACUAAAGGUAGUAAAGAAUUCUCCCCGCACACGUGGCAAUCGGCCUUCCUCAGCUACCUCGUGAUCAUAUGUAUACAUGCACGUCAAUGUAGGGUCAUGUGUAUCUCUUAAAUUGCAGGAUGAAGAUGAAUUCUUCGGUUUACAUUGAUGCUUUCCAUUGCACCAAUCGAUGUUCCUCUCCAGGUUAUUUUGUUUCUUCAGUCAAAUUAUUGUCUGGUUAACAACUAAUGGAAAUGUAAGGACAGAAUAUUAACGUGAUAUGUUACAUAAUUUAUACUAUAAUAUUUUAUCAUUGUUAACGGCACAAUUUGAUAAAAAGAUAAAAAAGAAGUCAUUUUAUUAUAUUAUGUGUAAAAUACAUGAAAAAAAAAGAUUACAAAUUUUAUUUGAUUACAUUACUGCAGAACUUACAAAAAUAAUUAUAGAAGCAUGGCUAAUGAUUAUAGGUAUUAUUUGAAUAGAUAUUUUUCUCAUUUUUCUUGUUUGACUGGUUGCAACUUGUCUUCAAAUUUUGAUAUCCACCAAAAAACUAUCCAAGAGCUUGAUUGUUUUAGAUAGUCAUUCAACAGCUUGACUGACUUUAUAUUUGUCUGUGCAACAAAUUUGAAUUUUUUUUUUAAAAAAGUCAAUAUUGAAUUUUAGACAUGCAUAAAUAGCAUAAUUUUUUAUUAUGCAGUGAAAAUAUAUGUAUAAAGUAUGAGGAAAGAUCUACUUAUACCGGUAUAAAAUUAAAUUAGUUUUACACUUUUUCAUGUCUUUUUAUUUCAUUUAUAUUUUGUUAAUCUAACCGUUCAUUUUAUGUUAUAUUCAUAUAAAUAUUCAUAGAUAGCAAAUUUCAAGUUAAUUGGAAAUGACUAACUACAUAUUUGAGAAAAAUAAAAUUUCAAUCAUUAAAUAUAUAUUGAAAAAAGGCAUUAUUCUCGGUUGAUGUAAUAAGAAUGUUGAAUUAAUAUGAGACUUUACGUGUAUGAUAAAUGCGAAUAAGUUGUUAAAUGUAAUGAUUCUAUUUGUUAAAAUAUUAAUUCCCUAAGAAGUUAUAGAAAAAUGUAAAGUACUUAGUUUUAGAGAUACAAGGCGAUUCCUCUUGGCCGGUAUAAAGUAUUGCUAUUUAGGCUUUUGUGUGCAAUUUUUUUUCAUAGCUAAUUGUUGUUGAAAAUGUGCAAUCUUUACUACUGUAUGCAUGUAAUAUUUUUGUCCAAAAUAUUAGCAAAAAAAAUGUUUUGAACUGUGAACUCCGUAAAAGUUCUAUACAAAAGGAUUUUAAACAACACUAGUUAAAGAAAAUAAAUAAAUAAAUGCAAAUUUAAUUAUUAUAGUGUGUUUUUUCCACUUGUUCAAAGUAAGAUUUGAUUUCAAUUGCAGCCCUAGAUAUAAUCAGCAAAGCAAUGAAGAUAACAUUAUCCAAAGAUUUAAUGUUUCUCGUUAAACUUUUUUAUAUAUAAUUCUCCAAAGAAAAAUACAGUUUUAUACUUAAAAAAUAAAUGUAAAAUAUGAAAUUGAUCAAAUUUUUUCAGAAUUAUUAUUUUAUAUAUCUUGAAAUUUUGAAAUUCCAAAAUUUAUAAUAUUGUUUAAGUCAUAUUAUAUAUAUUAUUGAGGGUUUAUAGUAAUAUCCCUACUGUGUAGAUUUACUUGGAUGAAUUGCAAAGAUUUCUUUUCCAUCAGUUCCGCUACGUACCAAUUGGCUGGGUACACGGAUUUUCUUCUUUCUUGUUUGUUUGCGUGGAAAAUCAUCAAAGAGCUCUAUGACAGGCUUGUCGUUAAAAGUGUUUUGCUGGCUGGCUUUAAUUAGUUGACUGACUUUUCAAAAGAAGACUUGGUUUUAACAAUAAAUGUAAGCACUGCUUCGCUUGCCUGUAUCAAAACUAGAACCUUGAUCUCCCACUGAAACUUUGGGAUGCUUUACGUCAUACUUCCAUUACUUUGCCUUUUGGCUUUUGCUUCAUUUCUAUUCCCCGAUCCAGGCCGCGUUACAGAAAAAUACAAGCACUGUGGUUCUUCUUUAUGUGGAAACAUUAACAUCACUUACCCUUUGCGAUUAAAAACCCAGUCUCAUAGGUGUGGUUACAAGGAGCUUGAACUAGUGUGCCAGAAUAACCGUACUAUUUUCCCCAUGAAACAUGGGAAUUUCUAUGUCCAACACAUCUCUUAUAGUGACGAAACCAUUCAACUUUUAGACGAGAGUCUUGGCAACGAUAACUGCUCCAUUCCUCAUAGUUCCUAUCCUUGGUACACCCCUUUCUCGAAAAAAAUAUAUCUCUAUGGAACCACCUCUGAAUAUAGCAUCAUGUGUCUCGUCAAUUGCACGAUGCAAAUCAACUACUCUUCCGUUUAUAUCGAUGCUUUUCGUUGCACCAACAAUACCCCUUCCUCUCGACCUGCUUACUUUUACUUUUUGGAUGGAAAUACAACAGCGUCUGAUUUCGAUGAGUCAUGCAGAGUUGAAGCCCAGGUUCCAAUCAUGCUUGCCAACAUCACCGGCCGCUCUACUUUUGAUAUUUACACAAAGCUGUUAACGGGAUUCCAACUCUCAUGGUCAACUUCCUAUUAUGAUUAUGUUUGGCUGUCGUGGGACUCAAUCGUUAACGUGUGAGGAUUUUUAAGUAUUCCGCAAUAUUUGGUGUUGUUUAGUUUUUGAAAAAUAUUUGUUAUUACUAUUAUUUUUUGGAUCGUAAUAUUUAUUAUUUUUAGCAUAAAUAAAUAUGAUAAAUAAACAAAUAUCAAAAUAUUUAGUUUUGAAUUCUUUUAAAUUACUUUUUUAAUUAUGUGUAUAAAUUUGUAUCUAAAAUUUAAACUCGAUAUUUUAAUGUAAAAUUUAAAGAGAAGGAUUUAAAAAAUUUUCAACACUAAAAGUGCGCAUAUCAUUUGCCUUAUUAAGGAUUAAUGGUUUUGAUGUGCUUUUUUGAAUAUUAAUUAUAGAUUUCUAUCCUUGCUCGGCCUGUUGGUGCUUCCGCUGGAGAUACUUAUAGUAGGCAACAUAGCUUUUUUUGGACGAUAUCAUAUCAAUGGAUUUAGUAAAGGUAUUCUUUCGGUUCUGAGUUCAUUAAUAUUUUGAUUAUUAUUGGAUUUGCCUUUACUUUGAUAGUAUCUAUGUUCAUUUAUUUUCCGAAUUGGUAAUAUCUUUGCAGGAAUCCAGAUUCUUUGUGUUGCAAUAACAGGUACUAAAUUCUAUACUUAUUUAUUUACUCUUAAAUUCUACAAUUAUUAUAAUGUAUGACAUCAAUAAAUAUAUUAUUAUAUAAAUGAAUCAAAAAAUUAUUAAAUUAUUUAAAAAAUUCCUAAACUAUUUUAAAGAAAUUCAAAUAAGCUUUUCUUAAUUUUUAUUACAUUCAAUCAAGCUAUUAUAUUUUUAUUUUGAACCAAAUAAACCCUUCUAAAUAAUAGUUAACUAAUGUUAUUAGUUCAAAUGUCACUUAUUAUUUUAUACUUAUGUGACAUUGAUAUGAUGCUGACAAGGAGGAUGAAAAUACCACGUAACCAUGUCAUAAUGCCAUAUACUAUGACAUGUCAACAUAAUAUAUCAAUGUCUUGUGACUUAAAAUAACAAAUGGUAUUUUAAUUAAUAACAGUUAGUUAUCCAUUAGUUAUAAUAGCUUAUUUGAUUCAAAAUAAAUGUUUAAGAGCUUGAUCAUACACAAUAAAAGAAUAAGAGUUUAUUUAAAAUUUUCUAAAUAGCUCAGGAAAUUUUUUUAAGUAUUAUGCAUGUAUGUGUGUGUGUGUGUAUGUGUAUAUACCAGUGUGAAAUUAAUUAAAUUUACACCUUUUCAUAUUUUUUAUAAGAUUUCUAUUUUGUUAAUUUAACCGUUGUAUUCCAUAUGUACUCAAUUUACAUAGAUCAUGCAUAAAAAAUUUUAAAUCAAUUGAAAAUAUCUAAUUAUUUGUAUAAUAAUAAUAAAAUUUUAACCGUUAAAUAUAUAUUUAAAAAACAAUAUUCUCUACCAAUGUGAUAUGGAUAUGGCACUGACUUGAAACUUUAUAUGUACUAUUGGAUGCAAAUAAAGUUAGCUUGCUAAAACUUAAUUGUAUAUGAAAUUAUAAAAUGGUGUAUAUAUAUAUAUAUAUAUAUGAGUAUUGCAUAUAUGUAUAUGUAUGUAUAAAGAGAUUCAAUAAAGGAUUAAAUAAGAGAAGAUCUACUAUAAAUGAUUCGUAAAUAAUAUUGAACUACAUUAAUUAGGGUUUUUUAGUGAGGUAUUUUAAUGUUGUUACAAUGUUUUUUGGUCAAGAUAAAAAUUAUGUCCAAAUUUAGCAUUUUACUUUAGACCAAAUUAUGAUCAUAUUUAAAUGAGAAUAAUUGGCACUUUACUUUUAAAUUGAUUAAAAAUGAUCAAAAGUUAUGAAAUAAACUAAAAAGUACACUCAUUCAAAAAAGAAUAGUAAAUUUAAUCCAUCAUUUUUUUAAAAGGUGAAUUUUUAUUAACCUCAACACUAUCAUGCCAUUUUGAGUCUCAAACAUAGAUUGCAAGAGACUCUCACGGCAUAAAUAGUUAGUGAGCAGCCUGUACAAUUUCCAAAAAGAAUAUGCUACUCAACAAGAUUUUGGUAGCAACUCAGGAUAAAGAAACUAACGUACCUUAAGUAGAUUGGUAAAUUUGAACCUAAUCUCAAAUUAUUCUAUGAAGUUUGUUUGUGAAAAUAUGGCAGCUAGCACAUACCCAAAUUAAAGUUGUAAAUAACAUAUACAUGUUCUAUAAUCAUGUUUUCCAACUAAUUGAUUUACAUAUUGUUUUGUAACUUUUUUUUUUGAAACAGGAAUUCUUUUACUAAGAACUUUUUUGGGAAUAAUUUGCUUGAUUGUGUUGGUUAGACAAAAAUUGAAAAGGAGGCAUUUGUCUGUGGAUGACGAUAUUGAGAAUUUUCUUCAGAGUCAAAACAAUUUAAUGCCUAUCAGAUAUUCUUACUCUGAAAUAAAAAGAAUGACUGAUGGCUUCAAGAAUAAACUAGGUCAAGGAGGAUAUGGUUCUGUGUUUAAAGGAAAACUUCGAAGUGGUCAACUUGUUGCGAUAAAAUUGUUAAACAACUCAAAAGCUAACGGCCAAGAUUUCAUCAAUGAAGUUGCAACUAUUGGAAGGAUUCAUCAUGUUAAUGUGGUAAGACUUAUUGGAUUUUGCGUGAAGGGAUCAAAACAAGCUCUUGUAUAUGACUUCAUGAAGAAUGGGUCCUUGGAUAAAAUUAUAUUUUCAGCUGAAAAUAACACUUUGAGUUGGCAAAAAAUGUUUGAGAUUGCUUUGGGAGUGGCUCGAGGUAUUGAAUAUUUGCAUAGAGGUUGUGAAAUGCAAAUUUUACAUUUUGAUAUCAAGCCACAUAACAUUCUUCUAGAUGAGAACUUUACUCCAAAAGUUUCAGAUUUUGGCCUCGCAAAGUUGUAUUCAGUGGAUAAUGAUAUUAUUUCUCUCACAGCAGCACGAGGUACAGUAGGAUAUAUGGCUCCUGAAUUGUUUUAUAAAAAUCUCGGAGGUAUCUCAUAUAAAGCCGAUGUUUAUAGUUUUGGAAUGAUGCUAAUGGAAAUUACUGGAAGAAGAAAAAAAUUUGAAUGCCUCUGCUGAACAAUCAAGUCAAAUUUAUUUUCCAUCAUGGAUUUAUGAUCGAUUAGAUGAAGGAGAUAUCAUGGAGCUUGGAGAUUUGACAGAAAAUGAAAACAAAAUUAUGAGGAAAAUGGUAAUAGUAGCCUUAUGGUGCAUACAGAUGAAGCCCACUGAUCGUCCUUCCAUGAGCAAAGUCUUGAAUAUGCUUGAAAGUGAAGUUGAGCUCCUUGAAAUGCCUCCCAAGCCUUCUUUCUCUGGAAAUGUCAACUAAAUAUAGUAAGAAUUCUCCCCGCACACGUGGCAAUCGGCCUUCCUCAGUUAUCUCGUGAUAUUUGUCAUUGGGACACCACUCAACAUUGUGAUCUUGCUAAAUCUGACAACUUCUUCUGUAUUUAGUUUUUUGAAUGGUACGUAGUUUUUGUUUCCACCUAGAUCUAGUAGGCAGUGUUUGUAUUUUCUCUACUACCUUGGUUUGUUUUGUUUCUGCUACUUCUCUAUUGCCCUGUAUGUGACCUCUGAUGGAAUAAAUCAUUUCCUCACUUGUAAAAAAAUUGCAAGAAAAUGUAAUUUUAUUUUUCCCUUAUUUUAUACUGUCAUCCCAAACUCGCAGCACAACAGACGCCACAUACCUGUAAGAUGUAAUCUUACAAACAUGCAAGGGUCCAAUACAUAUACCUUAAAACACUAACUGAAAGACACUAAAAUACCUGAAGAACAAAGUGAUUCAUAAUCGGUAGAAAUUCAAAAAUCAUAAUUCGACAAUAUUCAGAAUUAAGUCUCUAAAACUAUAAAGUUAACAUGUCAAGAUAAAACUCUGAAUACUAAUUUAAGAUAGUUUGAUGUUCAUAAUAUUUAAAUAAAUCCUAGACAACCUAAAUGCUAUUAGAUUAAAACAUCACUCCUUGAAAUUCUCACGUAGUUGACCAAAUCACAACCUAAAAAAAAAAUUGAAAGAAUGAGUGAGUCCAACUACUCGGUAAGUAACAAAUAUCUCACUUCGUACUACAAAAGCCCUCAAAUAUAUGACCAAAAAUGUUAUCGGAAUAUGGAGUUCCAAUGACCCAAAUUUGGAUUGUCAAAACAGUUGAAAACCAAGUUUCUAAUUAAUUUUAAAAAUUCAUAUUUUCUAAACCACAAAACUAAACUAGAUGCUACAAAAACCAUUGGAAAGAUCUUUUCAAGACCUUUCCAUUGGUAACCAUCAUGCCACCGAAAGGUCACCAGAAUAGUGCCGAAUUUGAAUAAAAGUUAAGAAAACAUAAAUAAUUUAGGGCUUUUGUGCCCAACUAUGGAAAUACAACCCUAAACAUACCUUAAUCAGAAAUCCCUUGAAUACUUUUCUCUUUUUUCUAUCUUUCUUCUUCUAUGGUGUUAAGCUUUUCUGACUACCUAUCGUUUGAGUCUGAUGAAAUAAACUGACAUGAGUUUUCUACCUUUUCUUUUAAACUUGUAAACUAACCUAACCUCCACUAUUUUUUUUUUAAACGUGGUUUAGUGAGUUGUGAUCAGGUAAAACAAAUUGACCUUAACCGCACUAACUUAAACAUGAUAAACAAAACUGACAUUAAUUAAACUUCUUUAUUUACUUAAAGACCCCUUUUUCUAUUUUUUAAUUAUUAAGACACUCAAGGUUGUAACUGUAAUUAAAUAAAAUACUAAAACAACAUUUAUUUAUUUAUUUUAUAAAACUAUAGCCUAAUAAAUCUAAAUGUUUUUAUAAUAUAUACUUUGUGAGGGGUAUUACAUCCUUCCCUCCUUAAAAAGGAGUUUAGUUCCUUAAACUCUUACCUUGGUCCUCAAAAAGGCAGGGAUACUUCUUUUUUAUAUUUUUUCUAAAUCCCAAGUCGCUCCUCAUUCUGUAUGAUUACUUCAUUAGAUCUUAACAUAAGGAAUAGUUCGCCUUCUUAGAACUUGCUUCUUUCUAUCCACAACACACAUAGGAUGCUCAUCAUAAGACAAAUCUUCUCUAAGUAUCAAAGGAGCUAACCACACCACAUGACUAGGAUCUGGAACAUAUUUUCUCAACAAAGAAACAUGAAACAUGUUAUGCGCUCUCGAUAAAGCAGGUGGAAGUGCCAACCUAUAAGCCACAUCACCAACCUUAUCCAAAAUCUCAAACGAACCCAUAUAACAAGAACUAAGUUUUCCUCGAAUCCUAAAUUGCAUUACUCCUCUAGUAGGUGAAACUAGCAAAAAGACAUGAUCUCCAACCUCAAAUUCUAUCUUCCUUGUUUUAUUGUUUGCAUAACUCUUCUAUCUACUUUGAGCCGUACGAAGAUGUUCUCUAACUAACUGAACCUUCUCAACUGCUUGUUGAAUAAGAUCUAGACCCAAUAAUUGUCUUUCACCCACAUCAUCCCAACAAAGAGGUGACCUGCACUUCUUACCAUACAAAGCUUUGAAUGAAGCCAUUUGAAUACUAGACUGAUAGCUAUUAUUAUAAGCAAAUUCCGUCCAUGACAAGUGUCGAUCCCAAAAACCUCCAAAAUCCAUGACACAAGCUCUCAACAUGUCCUUAAGAAUUUGAUUAAUUGUCUCGGACUGACCAUCUGUUUGAACAUGAAAAGUAGUACUAAAAUUAAGUCUAGUACCCAAAGAUUUAUGUAGACUCUCUCAAAAUUUCACCACAAAUCGAGAAUCUUGAUCAUAUACAAUGGACACUAGCACCCCAUGCAGUCUCACAAUCUGCUCCACAUAUAACUCCACUAACUUUUCCAAUGACAUUUCCGUACGAAUAGCCAAGAAGUGAGCAGACUUUGUUAAUCUAUCAACAAUCACCUAGAUGCCAUCAUUACCUUUUAGUGUUCUCGGCAACCAGAUAUAAAGUCCAUAGUAAUUCGUUCCCAUUUCCAUUCUAGAAUAAGAAAUGGUUGCAAUAACUCUACUGGCCUCUGAUGUUCAACCUUAAUUUGUUGACAUGUUAAACAUUUGGCUAAAAACUGUGCAAUCUCUCUCUUCAUAUUGUUCCACCAAAAAGUGUUCUUCAAAUCUCGAUACAUCUUGGUACCACCAAGAUGGAUUGUAUAAUUACUAUAAUGAGCUUUCAACAAAAUUUCUCUCUUCAAUUUUGCAUCAUUGGGAACACAAAUUCUAUCACCAAACCUCAAAGAGUCAUCAUCAUGAAUCCUAAAGUCUGGUUUCAAACCAGAAUUAACCCUAAGUUUAAUGUGCUGAAGUCGAAGAUCAUCUACUUGGGCUGUCUUAAUCCGGUGAAUUAAAGUUGGUUGUACUCAUAUGUUAGCCAAUAAUGCUCCAAAACCCUGUAUACAUACACCAAUAUCCAUCCUCCGUAAGUCCUCCAAUAUCUGUUUUUGGGAAGUAAUCAUUGUGGCCAUGUUCCCAAACGUCUUUCUACUUAGAGCAUCAGCAACUCUAUUUGCCUUACUUGGGUGAUAAUUGAUGGUCAAGUCAUAAUCCUUCAACAAUUCUAACCAUCUUCUUUGUCACAUAUUCAACUCCUUCUGCGUGAUAAGAUACUUUAAACUUUUAUUAUCUGUAAAGACCUCACAAGACUCACCAUUCAAAUAAUGUCUCCAAAUCUUUAAUGCGAAACCACUACUGCCAACUUUAAAUCAUGAGUAAGAUAAUUCUCAUCAUAAGGUUUCAAUUGCUUAGAAGCAUAAGCGAUCACCUUAUCAUCCUGCAUAAGAACACACCCAAGUCCCUUUUUGGAAUCAUCACUAUAAACAACAAAUCCCUUACCACUAAUAGGCCUGGUAUGCAUAGGAGCGAAUACUAAUCUUUUCUUUAUCUCCUCAAAGCUCUUUUCAUAAUCAUUUGUCCACUCAAAACAAAUCCCUUUCCAUAUCAAUUUGGUUAAAAGUAAGGCAAUACAAGAAAAAUCCUCUACAAAUUACCUACAGCAUCCUACUAAACCCAGAAAACUGUUAAUCUCAAAAACAUUAUGUGGUCUCUUUCAAUUCACCACUAUUUCAACUUUCUUUGAAUCCACUGAAAUCCCGUCUUUCAACACCACAUGCCCAAGGAAAGCAACACUAAAAAGUCAAAAUUCACAUUUCUUCAAUUUAGCAAAUAACUAUUUCUGCCUCAAAGUCUUCAAAACAACCCUUAGAUGCUCUUUAUGAUCUGCUGAGCUAGGGGAAUACACUAGAAUAUCAUCAAUAAAAAUAACCACAAAUUUAUCCAAAUAAGGUUUAAAAACCCUAUUCAUCAAGUCCAAAAAAGUAACUAGAGCAUUUGUCAACCCAAAAGGCAUAAUAAGGAACUCAUAAUGCCCAUAUCAGGUACGAAAAGUAGUUUUGGGAACAUCCUCAAUUCUCACCUUCAACUGGUGAUAACCAGAUAAAAGAUUAAUUUUGGAAAACACUUAAGUGCCCUUUAGUUGAUCAAAUAAAUCAUAUAUCCCAGGCAAAAGAUACCUAUUAUUCACGGUUGCCUUAUUUAACUCCCGAUAAUCAAAACACAACCUCAUACUCCCAUUUUUUUUCUUCACAAAUAACACUGGCGCUCCCCAAGGAGAUAUACUACAUCUAAUAAAGCCCUUAUCAAGAAGUUCUUGCAACUGCUCUUUCAACUCUUUUAAUUCUAUAAGAGCCAUUUUAUAAGGAGCUUUAGAAAUAAGGUCAGUUUUUGGAACCAAAUCAAUAGAGAAAUCAAUUUCUCUAUUAGGAGGUAAACUAAGUAGAUCUUUAGGAAAAAAUUAGGAAAUUCCCCCAUAAUAAGAACAUCUUCAAUCAUUAACUCCUUCAUUCUAGUGUCUAUAACAGUUGCCAAAAAUCUUUUGUAACCACUAGUAAGCAAUCACCUAGCUUUCAAAGCAAAGAUGACUCGCAAAGGAGUGUAAGAACCACUACCACGAAAAGAAAAAGGUGUUUCCCCGGGAAUCUGAAAGUCUACCCUUUUCCCUCGAUAAUCAACUUUAGCAAAAUUUGCAACUAACCAAUCCAUCCCCAGAAUUAUAUCAAAAUCUUACAUAUCUAAAACAUGAAGAUCUGUAAGCAAUUCUCUAUCUUCAAUCCUUACCACACACAUCUUAUAAAUCUGAUCAGAGAUAAUAUCACCUCUAACUAGAGUGUCUACGCAUAGUUCAUAAUCUAGAAGCAUACAAGGCAAAGCAAACUUUCGAAAAAAUGUAGCAAAUACAAAAGAACGAGAUGCAUUGGUAUCAAACAAUACAUGAGUAAAAGCUGAGGCAACUAGCAGUGUACUUGAGACAACGGUGUUGGAUGCCUCUACAUCCGAUUGAGUGAUAGCAUAAGCACGCCCCUGGGUGCAAGGUCUUCCCACUUUUUGAUGUUCAAAAGAAGGUGUUUGCGUAGUCUAAACAACAUGAGUGGGUUGAGUCCUUUGCGUUGCAGUUUCAAAAGUUCGAGAGUUUUGCGACCUCUGCACAGAUUGAGAUUCUUGAAGGACUAAAGGACAAUUAGCAAUACGAUGGCCCUAUUGUCUACAUUCAGCAGCUCGAUGUCCUCCACCACACACUGAACACCUAGGCUUUUGUGCCCAAACUAUGAAAAUACAACCCUAAACAUAACUUAAUCAGCAAUCCCUUGAAUAUUUUUCCCUUUUUUCUGUCUUUCUUCUUCCUUGGUGUUAAGCUCUUCUGACUGCCUAUCGUUUGAGUAUGAUGAAAUAAACUUGUAAACUAACCUAACUUUCACUAUUUUUUUUUAAACAUGAUUUAGUGAGUUGUUGUCAGGUAAGAUAUACUAACCUUAACCCCACUAACUUAAAUGUGAUAAAUAAAACUGACAUUAAUUAAACUUUUUUAUUUACUUAAAGACCCCUUCUUCUCUUUUUUAAUUAUUAAGGCACCAAAAGUUAAAACUGCAAUUAAAUAAAAUACUAAAAGAACAUCUACUUAUUCAAAAAUGAAUAGUAAAUUUGAUCCAUCAUGUUAAGUAGAUUGGUGGUAAAUUUGAACCUUUUCUCAAACUAUUCUAUGGAGUUUGUUUGUGAAAAUAUGGCAGCACAUGCCCAAAUUAAAUUAGUAAACAACAUACACAUAUUCUAUAAUCAUGUUUUUCAUCUUUGGGUUGGCAAAGAAUGUUUGAGAUUGCAUUGGGAGUGGUUCGAGGUAUUGAAUAUUUACACAGAGGUUGUGAAAUGCAAAUUUUACAUUUUGAUAUCAAGCCACAUAACAUUCUUCUAGAUGAGAACUUCAUCCCGAAAGUUUCAGAUUUUGGCCUUGCAAAGUUGUAUUCAAUGGAUGACAGUAUUGUCUCUCUUACAGCUGCAAGAGGUACAUUAGGAUAUAUGGCUCCUGAAUUGUUCUAUAAAAAUAUUGGAAGCAUUUCAUAUAAUGUUUAUAGUUUUGGAAUGAUGUUAAUGGAAAUUGUCGGAAGGAGAAAAAAUGUGAAUGUCUCUGCUGAACAUUCAUGUCAAAUUUAUUUUCCAUUUUGAAUUUAUGAUCGACUUGAGGAAGGAGAUAUCAUAGAACUUGGAGAUGUAACGGAAAAUGAAAACAAAAUUAUGAGGAAAAUGGUAAUAGUAGCCUUUUGGUGCAUACAGAUGAAGCCCACAGAUCGUCCUUCAAUAAGCAAAGUCUUGGAGAUGCUUGAAAGUGAAGUUGAGCUCCUUGAAAUGCCUCCCAAGCCUGCUUUCUCUGAAAGGUCAACCAAACCAUUAGUUGUAUUAUAAGUAAUAUUUAAUGUUGUACGUUAAGCAAUGUUUCACUACUUUAUCAUACUACUUUUAUAAUUUUUAUAGUAGAAACCUUAAGCUUGAGGCAUAAUCUUCUCUCUUCCAAAAAAAACCAAAAAAAAAAAACAAUAUAGAAUGGUGAGGAAGAAAGUAUAGCAAGGAAAAGAAGGAUACUGAGUUGGAGUUUUGAGCGUGCGAAGGUGUUAUUUUAGAAGAGUUGUAAUGGUAUCUCGUAAGUAUUUUGUCUAUAUAAAAAGUCUUUUGCUCAUAUAAAGAAUAAAGACUUUAAAUAGCAUUAUCGAUAUAUUAUUGCAAAUAAUUAACUUACGUUUUAAAAAAAUUAAAAAUAUUCCUCAACCAUGCUUGGAAUUAUAAUUUUUAUUUAAAAAAAUAAAUUAUUUGAGUUUUAUUUUAAAAAAAUAAAUUAUUUGAGUUUUCUCUCUUAAUUAAAAAGUCAAAUUUUAUCCAAUUCAAAAAUUUAUUUAAAAUGAUUUGAAAUCAAAUUCAACUUAAUUCAAAUUAAAUGACAAAAAUUAAAAAUUUCAAUAUGAAAAUACGUGAAUUUAAAAUGAUAUUAAUUUAAUCCGACACAAUUCAAUGUUAACAUGACUCGAAUCUAAAACGAACCGAGCUCAUAAUGAUCAAAAAUCCAAGAUUUAUUGGAUCCAAAACUUACAAAAACUUAAAUUUAUAACUCCCAAAAAUCCAAAUUAUAAUUAAAUAAUUUUAUUUAAUAAUUAAAUAAGUAAAUGAUUAAUUUUUAAGUGAAAAUUUUAAGACACACAAGCACCUUUUUCUCGUCAAUGCUUCUUCGUUACUCAGAAACAGCUCAUAAGAAUGGCAUGGUCAACUACUCUGCUUCACCUUCACUUCAAAUCCCCUCCGGUUUCUUCUCACCAAUUCCCACAUUCCCCCCCAAAAAUCCCCGAUCUUCCUAAACCCUAACCCUAUAAUUCCCAAACCCAAACCCCCCAAAAUGCAAUUCCUUCACAGGCCCAACGCGUUUCCAGGCCACGGCGCAGUAUCAAGAGCCAUGGACAUCAUCCAAUCCUCACCGCCCACGUGGGAAUCGGCCUUCCUUACCAACAUCCUGAUCUUCGUCGUCGGGACUGCACUUUUAGUAGCGGGGCUUUCUCUCUCCGAAAUUUUCGCUUCCUUCUUGCUUGGCACUCUCACUUGGCGAGCUUUCGGGUCUUCUGGAUUCCUCCUCAUUGCUUCUUACUUCGUUAUAGUGAGUCACUAAAAAGUCUAUGAAUUUUAUUUGAAUUAUGGGAUUUACGUUAAAAUUGGAAAUGGGUUCUGAUUUUCGCUCCCAUUUGGUAUAAAGUUUAUGCUCUGGAUGACAAGUUUCAUUGUUUGGUAUUUUGGCAAAGGAAAAAAAAUUUAGUUUAUGUCAAAAAGAUUUAACGUGAAGUAUUUAGUUAUUUAAGUGUGAUUUGUUUUUAUUUCAAGAAUUGGAUUACACUAGGUGAAAACAGGUCAAAACUAUAACCAAAACAUUUUUCCAAAAUUCUUUUUUAUUUUCAUUUGUUUUCUUCUUGGUGGGGGCAGGUGAAGGGAGAUUUUAUUUGCUUUUGACAUGUUUCUUAAGUAUAAAGUUGAAGUAGAAGAUAAACUGAAUAAAAAAAUAAAAAAAGUUAAAUUAGAUAGAGAGGGUGAAUAUUUACCUAUUAAUGAUAUUUGUGAAAAGAAAGAAAUAAUUUAUAAAAUUACUCUCUCAUAUUCUACUGAAUCAAAUAGUGUAGUUGAAAGGAAAACUAAAACAUUAAAAGAAAUGAUGAAUUAUAUGCUUAUUAGUUCUAAUGCACAUGAAAAUUUGUAGGGUGAAGUUAUAUUAUUUGCAUGUCAUAUUCAAAAUAGAAUUCACUGCAAGAAAACUGAUAAGACACCUUAUGAAUUGUGAAAAGUCUAUUCUUCUAACUUAAAAUAUUUAAAAGUAUGAGAGUGUUUAGCUAAUGUUAUGCUUCUUGAUUUUAAGAAAAGAAAAAUUGACUCUAAGAUGUCCGGUUGCAUGUUUAUUGGCUAUACCAAAUAUAGUGCUGCAUAUAAAUUUCUUGUACUAAAAAAUGAUGUUUUUGAUAAUAAUACAAUUAUUAAAACAAAAAAUGUUGAAUUUUUUUGACAUAUUUUUCUAUUGAGAACUGAUACAAUUUUUCUUCCAUCUUUUAGUGAAAAUGUUUUUUUAAAUGCAAAAUGAUGAUUUGAGAAGAAGUAAAAGACAAAAGAAAGAAAUUUCUUUUUGUAAUGAUUUUUACACUUAUCUUGUAGAUAAUGAUCUUUUAAAUUAUGCUAAUUCAAUUUCUUCUAAAGAAUGUCCAUUUUGAAAAGACGUUAUACAAAAUGAGAUUGAUUCUAUUUUACAAAAUCAAACCCGGGAAUUAAUUUAUUUACCACCUGAAGCUAAGCCAAUUGGUUGUAAAUGGAAUUUUUAAAAAAAAUUUAAUCUUGAUUAUUUUAUUGAUAAAUACAAAAUUAAAUUAGUUGCUAAGGGUUUUACCAAAAAAUAAAAUAUUGAGUAUUUUGAUACUUUUGCUCUAGUAACAAGAAUUUCAUCUAUUUGUAUUUUAAUUGCCUUAGCUUCGAUUUACAAACUUUUUGUUCAUCAAAUGAAUGUUAAAACAGUUUUUUUAAAUGAUGAUUUAGAAGAAGAAAUUUAUAUGACACAACUCGAGGGAUGUGUACUUCUUGGUCAAGAAAACAAAAUUUGUAAAUUAAUUAAAUCUCUAUAUACUUAAAACAAGCACCAAAAUAAUGGUAUGAGAAAUUUGAUUAAAUUCUUGUUAAUAAUAGAUUUUUUACUAUUGGAGUUGAUAAAUGUGUGUACACAAAAACUAUUGAUAACGAAUAUAUGAUUAUUAGCUUAUAUGUUGAUGAUAUGUUUAUUUGUGGUACAUGCAUUGAUGUGGUAAAUAAAACAAUAUGUUUCUUAACUUAUAAAUUUGAUAUGAAAGAUUUGGGAGAAACCAAUAUUAUUUUGGGUGUUAAAGUCAUAAGAUGUGAGAGUGGCCUAAUGUUAACACAAAAACAUUAUAUUGAGAGGUUACUUAAAAAGUUUAGACAUUUUAAUGUCACACUUGUGAAUACUCCUUAUAAUGUUAAUACCCAAUUAAAGAAAAAUAGAGAUGAUAGUAUGGCUCAACCUUAGUAUGCAUAGAUUUUUAAAAGUUUGAUGCAUUUGAUGAAUUAUACUUGACUUGGUAUAGCUUAUGUUAUGUGUAGACUGAGUAAAUAUACAUAAAGUCUCAAUCAAGAUCAUUGAACUGUUUUGAAUAGAGUAAUGAAAUAUUUGAAAUGUACCAUAAACUAUGAUAUUUUAUAUAAUAGAUUUUCCGUUGCAUUAGAAAGGUACAAUAAUGUUAACUUAAUCUCAUAUUCAGAUGAGACAAAAUUCAUGAGUGAUUAUGUAUUCACCAUUGGUGUGGAUGCUGUUACUUAGAAAUUAGUCAAAUAAAUAAUAAUUACUAAAUCUACAGUGGAAUCAGAAUUUAUAGUUUUAGAAUUAACUAGUAAUGAGGUUGAAUAGUUAAGAAACCUCUUAACAGAUAUUUCAUUAGAAAUGAAACCAACACCUUCUGCGUCUAUGUAUUGUGAUUGUCUAACGGCAAUAAACAUUGUGAAGAAUAAAACUUUCAAUGGUAAGAAUAGACACAUUUGUUUAAGAUAUGAUGUGGUAAAAUAAUUACUUAGAGAUGAAAUUAAUGUCCAUUAAUUAUACGAAGUCAUAUACCAAAAAAUAUAAAUUAUGAAACCGAUGAAUCCUUUUAGAACUAUUAUUUUGCAUUUCAAUAAGUCCAUGGUGGAAUUUUAAGACUGCACAAAUGAAUUCAUAGGAUUGUUUAAGUGAUUUUAUUUAUAUGUUAUUGCAGACAGAUUACAAAAAUUCCUUUCCUGUUAGUUUCGUUAUCAAUCAGUUCAUACGUUAUUUUCUUCAUUAAUUCUUGUUUGAGUGGAAAAUCAUCUCAGAGCUAUGAUUGGCUUGUGUUGAAGUUGUUGGAUUGAAUUAAUUAGUUGACUGGACUGACUUUUCAAACGAAGACGAGUGAGGGAGAAAGACCGCACCAUUAAAAGUUGACUGACUUUUCAGUUACCGCAUGAAACCGUACAACUCUCAGACGUGAGUCUGAAAAAUGUGCAAUUUUGCUAAUAUAUGCAUGUGAUAUUUUUGUCCAAAAUAUUAUCAAAACAAAUUGUAUAGAACUGUGAAAUCCGUAAAAGUUGUUUGCAAAAAGGUUUUUAACAGCACAAGUUAAAGAAAAAAGGUCAAAGGAAGAUUUGAUUUCAAUUACAGCCACAGAAAUAAUUAACAAAGCAAUAAAGAUAACAUUAUCCUAACUCUUAUUUAAUCUCUCUCGUUAAACUUUGUUAUACUUAAUUCUCCUAAAAAAAACUUUUUUAUACUUACAAAAAAUAAAUAUAAGAUAUGGAGAUUGAUCAAUUUUAUUUAGAAUUAUUAUUUUAUAUAUUUGCAAUGAAAUUUUGAAAUUCCAAAUUUCAUAACAUUAUUUAAGUCAUAUUAUAUAUCUACAUAUAUAUAUAUUAUGUUAAGGGGUAUAUUGAUCUCACUAAUGUGCAGAUAUACUUGGAUGAAUUACCCAUGAGUGCUAUGGUAGGCUUUGUGUUAAAUGUGUUUUCUGGUUUGGGUUUAAUUAGUUGUCUGACUUUUCAAAAGAAGACUUGGUUUUAACAAUAAAUAUAAGAGAACAUCAUAGUGCUUCUUCACAAACUAAUUAAGCCCUUAAUCUCCUUCUCUCCCACUGAAAUUUUAGGAUGCUAAGAGCAAAGCUUCCAUUAUUCGGCCUUCUGGCCCUUGCUUUAUCUCUAUUCCCUGAUGCAUGCAUCGCUAGAGGCAAACACAAGCACUGUGGCUCUUCUUUCUGUGGAAACAUUAAUAUCACUUCCCCUUUUCGAUUAAAAAGUCAGCCUCGAAGUUGUGGUUACAAUCGUUAUGAACUAGUAUGCGAGAAUAACCGCACCAUUUUCCCCAUGAAACAUGGGAAUUUCUAUGUCCAACACAUCUCUUAUAGUGACGAAACCAUUCAACUGUUAGACGUGAGUCUUGACAAGGAUAACUUUUUUAUACAAUGAAUUUAUAAGAUUGCUUGAAUGAUUUUAUUCCUAUUUGAGUGGAAAAUCAGCUAAGAGCUAUGAUUGGCUUGUGUUAAAGUGGUUGGCUUUAAUUUGUUGACCUGACUGACUUUUCGAACGAAGACAAGUGAGCAAGAAUAACCACACAUUUUCCCCAUGAAAUAUGAGAAUUUCCAUGUGGAAAAAGCCAUAUAAGUCUUAGAGGUGAGUCUUACCAAGCCACUCGGUAGGAGAUAGGGUAUACAUCUCCCUCAUCAUAAGUAUCCAUGCACGUCAAUAUAGGGUCAUGUGUAUCUCUUAAAUUGCAGGAUGAAGAUGAAUUCUUCGGUUUACAUUGAUGCUUUCCAUUGCACCAAUCGAUGUUCCUCUCCACGCUAUUUUGUUUCUUCAGUCAAAUUAUUGUCUGGUUAACAACUAAUGGAAAUGUAAGGACGGAAUAUUCACGUGAUAUGUUGCAUAAUUUAUACUAUAAUAUUUUAUCAUUGUUAACGGCACAAUUUGAUAAAAAGAUCAAAAUGAAAUCAUUGUAUUAUAUUUUGUGUAAAAUGCAUAAAAAAAAAGAAUUCUAAAUUUNNNNNNNNNNNNNNNNNNNNNNNNNNNNNNNNNNNNNNNNNNNNNNNNNNNNNNNNNNNNNNNNNNNNNNNNNNNNNNNNNNNNNNNNNNNNNNNNNNNNNNNNNNNNNNNNNNNNNNNNNNNNNNNNNNNNNNNNNNNNNNNNNNNNNNNNNNNNNNNNNNNNNNNNNNNNNNNNNNNNNNNNNNNUCUAUACUUAACAAAAGAUAAAUGUAAAAUAUAAAAUUGAUCAAUUUUGUUUAGAAUUAUUAUUUUAUAUAUUUUGAAAUUUUGAAAUUUCAAAAUAUAUAAUAUUAUUUAAGUCGUAUUAUAUAUUAUAUUAUUGAAGGCUUAUAUUAAUCUCCCUACUGUGCAGAUAUACUUGGAUGAAUUAUAAAGAUGUCUUUUCUAUCAGUUUCGCUACGUACCAAUUGGUUGGACACAUAUUUUAUUCUUUCUUAUUUGUUUGUGUUAAAAGUGUUUUGCGGUUUGGGUUUAAUUAGUUGACUGACUUUUCAGAAGAAGACUUGGUUUUAAUAAUAAAUAUAAGAGAACAUCACAGUACUUCUUCACAAACUAAUUAAGCCCUUAAUCUCCUCUCCCGCUGAAAUUUUAGGAUGCUAAGAGCAAAACUUCCAUUAUUUUGCCCCUUGGCUUUUGCUUUAUCUCUAUUCCCCGAUGCAUGCAUGGCUAGGGGCAAAAACAAGGACUGUGGCUCUUCUUUCUGUGGAGAAGUUACCAUCAAAAAGCCCUUUCAGUUAAAAAGCCAACCUCUCAGGUGUGGAAACCGUGGGCUUGAAGUCGAGUGUGACGACAAUAACCGCACCACUUUCCCCAUGAAAUAUGGGAAAUUCCUUGUCCAAGACAUCUCUUAUAAUAACGGCACAAUUCAUAUUAUAUUAUAUUUUUAUGUAUGUUUGUAUCUAUAGUAUUAGUUGUUUAAACUUUUUGGGUGCAAUUCUUUUUCAUAUAUAAUUAACAGCUUUUAUAAAACAGCAGUCUUUGUCACUAUAUAUGCUUGUAAAUCUCUCUUUAACUGCAAUUUUUUUGUCCAAAAUACUUCUAAUAAAAGAUUGUAUAGAGCAGCCAAAUUUGUAAAGUUCUAUCCUAAUUAAAACACUUUCAAUAACAUCUUAAAAAAAUUAAAUGCCAAAGUUAUUGUAGUGUGUUUUUCCCCUUUGGCUCUAGACUCUAGUUUAUUAAAUUUUCAAAGGAAGAUUUGCUUUCAUUUGCAGCCACAGAAUGAUAAGCAGAGCUACCAAGAUAAGAUUAUCUUAGUUCUUAUUUAAUCUUUCUUUUCAAACUUUUUUAUGCAUAUAAAAAAAUGUGAAAUAUGGACGGAUUAGUUCUUUUAGACUUAAUAGGUUGAUGGUGAAAUUUUAAGACUACACAACAUAUUUAUAGGAUUGUUUUUUAUUUAUAUUUUAUUGGGGGUUAAUAUUAGUCUCCCAACUUAGACGAAUAACAAAAAUUCCUUUGCUAUCAAUUUCGUUAUCAAUCAGUUGCAUACGUUAUUUUCUUCACUUAAUUUCUAUGUGGAAAAAGCCAUAUAAGUCUUAGAGGUGAGUCUUGACAAGGAUAACUGCUCCAUUCCUUAUAGUUCCUAUCCUUGCUACAGCCCUUGUGGAAAAAGCCUAUCACUUGGUAGAAGAUAUGGUAUACAUCUCCCUCGUCAUAUGUAUACAUGCACCUCAAUAUAGGGUCAUCUAUCUCUUAAAUUGCAGGAUGAAGAUGAACAUUUGGUUUACAUCGAUGCUUCUCAUUCCACCAAUCGGUGUUCCUCUACAUCUUCUUUUGUUUCUUCGGUAUUUUACAUUGUUAAUGGGACAAUUUGAUAAAAAGAUCAAAAUAAAAUUGUUUCAAAAUAUUAUACACAUGAAAAAAUAUUACGAAUUUAAUUUGAUUACUUUAUUGCGAAAGUUGCAAAAAUAAUUGUAGAAGCAUGUAUAAUGAUUAUGGGCAUUAUUUGAAUAGAUAUUUUUCUCCUUUUUCGCGUCCGACUGAUCGUAACUUAUCUUCAAAUUCAAAUAAAAAAGAAAAAAAAUUCAAGACUGAGAGUAUUUUAGAUAGUCAUUCAAGAGCUUGACUGAUUUCAUAUUGGUCUGUGCAACAAAUUUGCAAAUUUUUUAAAAGACAACUUUGAACUUUAGACAUGCAUAAUUUUUUUAAUACACAGGGAAAAUGUAUAUAUAAAGUACAAGGAAAGAUAUAUCUAUAUAAAUUAAAUUAAUUUUACACACCCUUUUAUAUUUUUUUAUACAAUUUAUAUUUUGUUAAUCCAAUCAUUGAUUUCAAAUUAUAUUCACAUAAAUCAUGCAUAACAGAUUUCAAAUUAAUUAAAACUGAUUAACUAUUUAUUUGAUAAAAAUAAAAUUUCAAUUGUUAAAUAUAUUGAAAAAAUAAACAUUUUACCAAAUUGACUUUGAAAUUACAUGAUAAGUACAAGUUGUUAAAUCUAACAAUAAAAUAUUAAUUUUUAAAGAAAUUAUAAAAAAUGUAAAACUAAUUAGUUUUACGCAAAAAAAUUAAUUUAUUGUUAUUUAGGCUUUUGUGUGCAAUUUUUUCAUAUUUAACAGUAGUUGAAAAUAUGCGGUCUUUACUAAUAUAUGCAUGUGAUAUUUUUGUCCAAAAAUUACCAAAAACAUAUAGAACUGCGAAAUCCGUAAUGUUGUAUGGAAAAGGAUUUUUAACAACACAAGCGAAAGAAAAAAUUUAAUAAAUACAAAGUUAAUAUAGUUUGUUAUUUCCACUUAUUCAAAGGAAGAUUUGAUUUCAAUUGCAGCCACAGGAAUAUUUAGCAAAGCAAUGAAGGUAACAUUAUCCUAACUCUUAUUUAAUCUUUCUGGUUAAACUUUUUUUUACAUAAUAUUCCCAAAAAAAAACUUUUUAUACUUAUAAAAAUUAAAUAUAAGAUAUAUGGAGAUUGAUCAAUUUUACUUAGAAUUAUUAUUUUAUAUAUUAGCAAUGGAAUUUUGAAAUUCCAAAUUUUAUAACAUUAUGUAAGUCACAUUGUAUUUAUUUAUUUAUUGAGGGGUUAUAUUAGUCUCCCUACCGUGCAGAUAUGCUUGGAUGAAUUAGAAAGAUUUCUUUUCUGUCAGUUUCGUAAUGUAUCAAUUGGUUGGACACAGAUUUUCUUCUUUCUUGUUUGUUUGUUUGCGUGGAAAAUCACCCAUGAUUACUAUGAUUGGCUUUGUGGUAAAAGUGUGUUGCGGUUUGGGUUUAAUUAGUUGACUGACUUUUCAAAAGAAGACUUGGUUCUAACAAUAAAUCUAGGAGAACAUCAUAGUGCUUCUUCACAAACUAAUUAAGCCCUUAAUCUCCUUCUCUCCCGCUGAAAUUUUAGGAUGCUAAGAGCAAAACUUCCAUUAUUCGGCCUUCUGGCCCUUGCUUUAUCUCUAUUCCCUGAUGCAUGCAUCGCUAGAGGCAAACACAAGCACUGUCGCUCUUCUUCCUGUGGAAACAUUAACAUCACUUACCCUUUUCGAUUAAAAAGCCAGCCUCAUAGGUGUGGUUACAAUGAGCUUGAACUAGUGUGUGAGAAUAACCGCACCAUUUUCCCCAUGAAAUAUGGUUAUGGGAAUUUCUAUGUCCAACACAUCUCUUAUAGUAACAAAACCAUUCAAAUGUUAGACGUGAGUCUUGACGAGGAUAACUGCUCCAUUCCUCAUAGUUCCUACCCUUUCUACGUGGAUGCACUAAAUAUAUAUUCCUAUCAAACUACCACUGAACCUAGCAUCAUGUAUCUCGUAAAUUGCCCGAUCCAGAUCAACAACUCUUGGGUUUAUAUUGAUGCUUUUCGUUGUACCAAUACCCCUUCCUCUCGACCUCCUUACUUUUACUUUUUGGAUGAAAAUACUGCAAUGUCUAAUUUCCAUGAGUCAUGCACAGUUGAAGCGCAGGUUCCAAUCAUGGUUGCCAAUAUCACUGGCCUCUCUACUUUUGAUAUUUACACAAAGCUGUUGGAGGGAUUCCAACUCUCAUGGUCUUCGUAUGAUGAUAUGUCAAGGUGAGACUCAGUUUUUAACGCGUGAGGAUUUUUAAGUAUUCCAAACUAUUUGGUGCAUUUUAGUUUUUGAAAAGUAUUUAUUAUUUUUAGUUUUUAAUUUUUAAAUUACCUUUUUAACUAUGUAUAUAAAUUUUUAUAAUUAGAAUCACAAAUUUUUAUUACUGUAGUAUCUUCUUCAGACUUUGAUUAUUUACUUUUACUCUAAAUUUGUUUAAUGUAAAAUUUAAACAGAAGCAUUUAAAAUAUUUUAAACAGUGAAAGUGCGCAUUUCAUGGCCUUAUUAAGGAUAACGGUUUUGAUGUGCUUUCUUGAAUAUUAAUUAUAGAUUGCUCUGGCUGUUGCUGCAUCCGCUGCAAAUAUAUAUUCAAAGCAUCAUGGCUUUGUUUCAACCAGAUUAUUUCUAUGCACCUUAUAAAGGUAUUCGUUCUUUUUUGAGUUCAUUAAUAAUUUGAUUCUUAUUGGAUUGGCCUUUACUUUCCUGUAUAGUUGACUUGACUCUUUACGUGCAUCAUAAGUAAACUGUUAAAUUUAAUAGUUGGUUUAUUAAAAUAUUAAUAGUAUACGAAGUUAUAAAAAAUUUAUAAAAAUUAAUUAAUUAAUUUUAUAGUGGUGUUGUGUGAGUAUCGCAUAUAUGUAUACGUAUGUAUCCAAGUGACUACAUAAAAGAAGAUCCAUCAUAAAUGAUUCAUAAAUAAUUUUGAACUACAUUAAUUGGGUAUUUUUUAACUAGGUAUUUUUAUGAUGUUGUGAUUUUUUUGGUCAAAAUAAAAAUUAUGUGGAAUAAGGUCUAAAUUUACCAUUCUAUAUAUUUCGGAUAAUGGAUCAAACUUGUCAGCAUCUUUGAACGGGUGUAAUUUUGCCAUUAUACUUUUAAAUUAGUUAAAAAUGUAAUCAAAAGUUAAGACUAAUGUUAAUUUUUGACCAUUUUUGAAGUAAAUUAAAAUGUAUAAUGGUAAAAAUUGCACUUGUUUAAAAAUAAAAUAAUAAAUUUGAUCCAUCACCUUAAAUAAACUAGUGUGUGUAAAUUUAAAUUUUAUCCCAAAUUAUGUUAUGAAUUUUGUUGGGGAAAAUAUGGCAGCACAUACCCAACUUAAAUUGGUAAAUGACAUAUGCAUAGCAUAUAAUCAUGUUGUCCAACUAAUUAAUAUAUAUAUUGUUAUGUAAUUUUUUUUUUGUGAAACAGGAAUUAUAUUGCUAAGAACACUUUUGGGGAUAAUUUGCUUGAUUAUAUUGGUUAUACGCAAAUUAAAAAGGAGGCAUUUGUCGAUGGAUGACAUGAUUGAGAAUUUUCUUCAGAGUCAAAACAAUUUAAUGCCUAUAAGAUAUUCUUAUUCUGAAAUAAAAAGAAUGACGGAAGGUUUCAAGAAUAAACUAGGACAAGGAGGAUAUGGCUCUGUGUUUAAAGGAAAACUUCGAAGUGGUCAAUUUGUUGCGGUAAAAUUGUUAAACAAAUCAAAAGCUAAUGGUCAAGAUUUCAUCAAUGAAGUUGCAACUAUUGGAAGAAUUCAUCAUGUUAAUGUAGUAAGACUCAUUGGAUUUUGUGUGAAGGGAUCGAAACAAGCUCUUGUAUAUGACUUCAUGCAAAAUGGAUCCUUAGAUAAAAUAAUAUUUUCAACUGAAAGUAACACUUUGAGUUGGCAAAAAAUGUUUGAGAUUACAUUGGGAGUGGCUCGAGGUAUUGAAUAUUUACAUAGAGGUUGUGAAAUGCAAAUUUUACAUUUUGAUAUUAAGCCACAUAACAUUCUUCUAGAUGAGAACUUCAUCCCGAAAGUUUCAGAUUUUGGCCUUGCAAAAUUGUAUUCGGUGGAUGAUAGUAUUGUCUCUCUCACGGCUGCAAGAGGUACAUUAGGAUAUAUGGCUCCUGAAUUGUUUUAUAAAAAUAUUGGAAGCAUCUCAUAUAAAGCUGAUGUUUAUAGUUUUGGAAUGAUGUUAAUGGAAAUUGUCGGAAGGAGAAAAAAUGUGAAUGUCUCUGCUGAACAUUCGAGUCAAAUUUAUUUUCCAUCAUGGAUUUAUGAUCGACUUGAAGAAGGAGAUAACAUAGAGCUUAGAGAUGUAACGGAGAAUGAAAACAAAAUUAUGAGGAAAAUGUUAAUAGUAGCCUUUUGGUGCAUACAGAUGAAGCCCACAGAUCGUCCUUCAAUGAGCAAAGUCUUGAAGAUGCUUGAAAGUGAAGUUGAGCUCCUUGAAAUGCCUCCCAAGCCUGCUUUCUCUUGAAAUGUCAACCAAAUCAUUUGGUGUUGUAUUAUAAGUAAUAUUUAAUAUUGUAUGUUAAGCAAUGUUUCACUACUUUAUUAUAUUACUUUUAUAAUUUUUAUAGUAGAAACCUUAAGCUUGAGGCAUAAUCUUCUCUCUUCCAAAAAAAAACAAAAGAAACAAAAACAAUAUAGAGUGGUGAUGAAGAUAGUAUAGCAAGGAAAAGAAGGAUACUGAGUUGGAGUUUUGAGCCUGCGAAGGUAUUAUUUUAGGAGAUUUGUAAUGGUAUCUUGUUAGUAUUUUGUUUAUAUAAAAAGUCUUUUGUUCAUACAAAGGGCAAAGACUUUAAAUAGCAUUGUCUAUACAAUCAUUAUGUUAAUGCAAAUAGUUAACCAAGUUUUUAAAAAAAUUAAAGAUUUUUCUAAACCAUGUUUGGAAUUAUAAAUUUUUUAUUUAAAAAAUGUAAAUUAUUUGAGUUUUCUCUCUUAAUUAAAAAAGUCAAAUGUUAUCGAAUUCAAAUAUUUAUUUAAAACGAUUCAAAAUCAAAUUCAAUUUAAUUCAAAUUAAAUGACAAAAAUUAAAAAUUUGAAUCCAAAAAUAUGUGAAUUUAAAAUGAUAUUAAUACAAUCUACCUUCAACAUAACUCGAAUCUAAAACGAACCGAGCUCAUAAUGAUCCAAAACCCAAGAUUUAUUUGAUCCAAAACUUAUAAAAACUUAUAUUUAUAACUCCAAAAAAUCCAAAUUAUAAUUAAAUAAAUUUAUUUAAUAGCUAAAUGAGUAAAUGAUUAUUUUUUAAGUGAAAAUUUUAAGACACACAAGCACCUUUUUCUCGUCAAUGCUUUUUCUUUGCACAGAAAAAGCGCAUAGGAAUGGCAUGGUCAACUACUCUGCUUCACCUUCACUUCAAAUUCCCUCCGGUUUCUUCUCAUCAAUUGCCACAUUCCCUCCCCAAAAAAUCCCCAAUCUUCCUAAACCCUAUCCCUAUAAUUCCCAAUUCCAAACACCCCAAAAUGCAAUUCCUUCACAGACCCAACGCGUUUCCAGGCCAAGGCGCAGUAUCAAAAGCCAUGGACAUCAUCCAAUCCUCUCUGCCCACGUGGCAAUCGGCCUUCCUCAGCAACCUCGUGAUCUUCGUUGUCGGAACCCCACUUUUAAUAGCGGGACUAUCUCUCUCCGGAAUUUGCGCUGCCUUCUUGCUUGGCACUCUCACUUGGCGCGCUUUUGGGUCUUCUGGGUUCCUCCUCGUUGCUUCUUACUUCGUUAUAGUGAGUCAUUACAAAGUCUAUGGAUUUUAUUUGAAUUAUAGGAUUUAAGUUAAAUUUAGAAAUGGGGUUCUGAUUUUUGUUCCCAUUUGGUAUAAAGUUUACGCUUUGGAGGACAAGUUUCAUUGUUUGGUAAAUAUGGCAAAGGAAAAGAAAUUUAGUUUAUGUCAAAAAGAUUUCAUGUGACGUAGUUUGUUAUUUAAGUGUGAUUUGUUUUUGUUUAAAGAAUUGGAUUACACUAGGUGAAAUCAGGUCAAAACCAUAACCAAAAUAUUUUUUCCAAAAUUUCUUUAUUUUCAUUUGUUUUCCUCUUGGUGGGGGGCAGGUGGAGGAGCCAGGGAGAAUUUAUGGGUUCUCGCAGUUUUAGACUAGUUUGAAACGAUAUAGUAUUGUUUUUCCUGCUUUCCUUUCUGAUAAUGGCUUGUUUUACUUGCAAAAUGAAUCUUGAAUUAGUUCCUCCUUCCCUCUUCUGAUUUUCCCUACCCAUAUUUCUAGUUGAAGAUAAUAGUUUCAAAUCAUGCUUGAAAACUAUAUUACAAAAUACUUGUAAUAUCAAACAAUUUUGUGUGGCAUUCGAGUUUCUAAUUUGAAUGGAGAAAUAAUUGGGAUGGAAGUGGUAUUAAAUUUAGAGGAAAGAAACAAGAAUGCCUUUUGCAACAUUACAAAGAAAAGAAAAGAAAACCUAGUAUAAAACUUCGGAAGAUGCUUGAUUAUAAGGUGCUGGGCUUUUGAGGACCUGAGACUUCAUAAUACUUUAUAAUUCUCUAGAUCUUCAGGCAAUCUUACAGCUCUUUGUCAUGCCUCUAAAACAAAUGCGGUAAAACCAUGCUCAAUUGUUCAAAUUGUUAUGCUCAAUUGAGAACUCCUGACCUGUUAUGUGUGUGUGGAGAUGAUAACACCAAUGAAUGGCCUUGUUAUACGGAUGACCGCUCAUGAUAAUUGCUACUUCAAAAAUUAUUGGCUUAGAUUUUGCUGCUGUGUUUUGAAACUUGUUGGCAUGCCUCACGAAUGCUGCGAAAUGUGCAGAAGGUUUCUGAGAUCUUGCUGCCAUCUAAGAAGAAAGAAUAGGUGAAAUUGUACAGGUACUAUGAAUAUGAUGUAAUGUUUAGCUUUUUUAUAGGGACUUCCUUUUUGUAUAGUGAACUUGGUUGCAUUGGAAUGAGUCUGUUCUCUGGGAAGAAUCACUGUUCUGAAAUUUGUUAAGUCUGAUCACAAUUGCAACCAGGAGCGGCAUGCCUUGCUUUUCUUCUCAUAGGGCAUGAGGGUAUCCCAUCAGGGUUCUUUUUGUGAACCCCUCUUAUGAAAUAACAUCUUCUAUGCCUUUCCAAAAAAAAAAAAGUAACAAUCACAUGGCAUAAUUUUUUCUUACAAUAUGAGAGUACUACAUCAGAGUUUCUUAAUGCACUAAGAAAAGUUAGAGAUAAGGUCUAAGAAAAUAUCAAUUUCAAGAAGAAACAAAUAACACUAGAAUCAUAUUUUACAAAAAUAUCAUAAUUGAGUCAUGUAUAUAAAUAAUUUUGAUGUAUGAGGAAAUUAUUAAUUUAUAUAUCAAGUGAGAUCUAUGUGUUUUUUUUCAAAAUGUAUUAUCUUAUUAAUUUAACAAAUUAUUAAUUUAUCAUGUUGAUCUCAAAUCAGGACCAACCAAAAUUAAUAUUUAUUCAAAAUUAUUAAUUUAUCAAGUAUUAUUUAUAGAAGAUUUGUUGUACUUCUUUGUAAUUCACUCUAAAUAAAAGGGUAUGUUGAAACAAGCGGAAUUUAGAUCCCUUAUGGUUCUUGCUACAUUUAAGUACUAUUAAUGUCAUUUAUGCUGGUUAUAAAGAUCUGACAUUUUAUUUAGAAACAAAAUUUGUAGAGUGUCAAGCUUUAAUAGCUUUUUUUUUUUGUUGCUUUUUAAUGUUUAUAUUCGUUGCUAUAUACUAUUUUUUUCCCUAUCAAACCAUUCUUUCAUGCUUACAAAUUUAAAUUUGUGGUGUGCAAAAAUUGUUGGUGUAUUUUCAAAAAUCAAAGGUUAUGUCACAUAAUCAAAAGCUAUCUUAGCUCAAAGGUUUGUCACAUAAAGUGACAUAGUGUGACUAUUGGAUUGUAGACAGGUUAUNUUGGUGUAUUUUCAAAAUCAAAUGUUAUGUCACAUAAUAAAAAGCUAUUUUAGCUCAAAGGUUGUCACAUAAAGUGACAUAGUGUGACUAUUGGAUUGUAGACAGGUUAUUGUUUCAUUAGAUAUGAAAAGUUAUUGUUUCAAAUUAUAACUCAAAGAUUAUGAUUUAUGGAAUGAAUAGUUGUCCUUUCAUUAGAUGAUUAUUGAAACAAUACAUUUAUCUUAAAGUUGUGUCUAGCAAAAUGUAAAGAUGUCUUUUAGACAAAAUGGUGUCUUAAUAAAAGGGUUGUGUCCUUGAAGAAGAGACACUUGCAAGCCUAUGUAAAGGGCUUGUUGCCAACCAUUUUUACACAUCAAAUCAAAAACAAAACAAGAACAGAAAAUCAAGAGUAAGAAAGUGUUGUGUUCUAUUAACAUAAACACUUAAGUUCCCAUCAACUACAAAAGCAUCAAAAUUUCUUAUAAUCUACUUGUUGUAGAAAGUAAGCUCUAAAGCCAAACAACUUUGCAAACCCUUAGAUAUAUCUAGUGGUCUACUCUCGUAAAGUGCAAGACAAAGUUAAACGUUAGCUUCAUUGUAUCCUUAAAACUAUUCGCAUUAUUUCUCUUUGCAUACUGAGUGGUGGGGAUGAAAUAAGUUUUAAAAAUAAUGUCUAUUGAAAAGCUCGCCUUAAAAUCAAUUUUGUUGGUUCUUAAAUUUCAUCUAAACCUCAUUUGCACCAACAAAAAUGAACAGGUACCUACUUUACUUUAUUAUUCUACUUUUAUUAUAUAAUUUUUAUAGUCUCCUUUUUCAUCUUAUAUACGGAAUCAGAUCCAUAUAGAAACCUUAAGCUUGAGGCAUAAGCUUCUCUCUUAUGAAAAUAAAAUAAAAUAAAAUAAAAUAAAAAUCAAGAGCAGUAUAUAUACCAUUGUGAAUGAAUAAAGUAUAAAAUCAUAGUGCCUUUUGAGAUACAAAACAUUGUGAAUGCGACAAGAAGUAUUAGUUGUAAUGUGUUAAUGGUCAUUUUUAAAUCAAAUUAAAAAUGUUACUAUUAGCAAUAUCAAGAAUUGCCAAGGAGAAAUUCAUUGAUAAAAUGACAAAUACCCGAAUUCUCUUCAUUGGCAACUUUACUAAAAAUCACUUUCAACGAAAAAAAAUUAGUAAAAGAUCUUCCAUAUUAUCUCUAUAUAUAGUAUAAUAUCAAAAUUUAGUAUUCUAAAAAUUUUAUUUUAUGCUGUUUUAGUACUAACAUAUUUUAAACAAUAUCAUUGUUUAUAUUAUUAUUACACGGACACUACUUACAUAUAAUAUAUAUAUAUAUAUAUAAAAGAUAAUAGCAUUGUUAGCUUUAUUAGAAUGAAUAAUUGAUUUUUUUUAAAAAUAGAAUGAAUAAUCUAACGAGAUGAAUUGGAUUUUAAAAACUUUUUUUGACAAAAUAAAAUCUAAAAAAAAAACACAUCAAAUAAUAAAAUCAAAACCAUUAAAUAAAUAUUUAACUGAAAAUAAAUGUAAUAAAAAUAAAUAGUAUAGGGUAAAAAUAUUUGCAAGAACCAUUUAUAAAGGUUCAAUCUUGUCUCUUGGUAUUUAUGUCACAAGUCUACUUUCUAAUCCAAAAGACAUGCAUAUUAAGUAAAGAUAGACAUUUAUUUAUAAAUCCAAGACUCAACUCAUCUCUUAUUAAUGUAAGAUCUAUCACAUUCUACCUCACCUAAUUGUUCAAUACGUUCGUUGCAUCGGCUCCUUUACUCAUAGAGGAGAGGGACCGUAUCUUGAUCUAAGUCUACCUCGAACCUGAUAUCUUUUAUAAAAGUUUCAUACUAGUUAAGAGUUAAGUUUGCUCUAAUACCACUAAUCACGAGUUCACAUUUCUAAUCCAAAAAAUAUACAUAUUAGAUAGAGAGAGGCCCUUAUUUGUAAAUCAAGACCCACCCAUAUGACACUUACAUUCUCUCUCUUAGUGUAGUAAAGAGUUCAAUACACUACUUAAUUCAACCAAUACAAAUACUAUUUUCUUGCGUAUCCAAAACAUGCAAAAAAUGCUCUACUUCCCUAUGUGAUACCUCAGAUGAAAUAAAUUAUUUCCUCAUCUUUAAAAGAAAAUACAAUAAUUGUAAAUUUUAUUUUUCUCCUAUUUUAUGUAACAGCCUCAACUUUGACUAAGGUUAUAAAUUACUUGUGUUGAACCAUUUGAUAACUUGCCAUGAGAUUUAAACAUAUGUAUUAAAUAUAUGAACAAAUGACAAUGUGUUUAAGGAUCUUGAAUGAUAAACUAUUAGGGUAAAAUACCCUUACCCCUCUAAGUUUUGAUUGAAAUUACAUGGAGGUCCAUUAGUUUUCAAAAUAGACACUCCGCCCCAAAAAAAUAUUUUUCACUGGACAUUUAGGUCCAGUUGUUAGUCAACCAUUAGUGUUUCCGUCAAUUUGAUGAUGUGAUAAGGGUAAAAACAUAAUUUCACCAUUGAUUAAUUUUUAAAAUUACUAUUAUAUAAUUUUAUUAAUUUUUUAAUUAAUUAAAAUAAAAAAGCUCCUCAAGGAGCAUUAAAGCUCCCUGGGAAGCACCAAUCGGGUGCUCCCCUCCCUUGAGGAGCACGAUGCUCUCUUUUUUAAAAUUUUUUUAAACAUAUAAUAUAAUUUUUAAAAUUUAUAUAAAAAAAAGAAAAGACAUUUUAGUCUUUUCCUAAUCUCUAUUAACGGUAUUUUCAUUUUUAGGACAAAGUGUCCAUUUCAAAAACUAAUAGACCUGCUUAAAAUUUGAACUAAAACUUAAAAGGUAGGGGUAUUUUACCCUAAAAUAUUAUGUUUUUGAUUAGAUUUUAGACCUUAAGCUAUGUGUUGAUAUGUUUUGACACUGAAUAUUGGUUAAUGUGGUGCAUACUAGUUGCAUUAAGAUGAAUAUUGAAAUAACAAAUCGUUUUGGAAGUCCAAAUUUGGAGUUAGGUAGUUUGAAGUGUUGAAAGUUUGCCUUUAGGAGAAAAUGUAUUGAUAAAUUCCUUGAUCUAUCAAUACAUUCAUGGCAGAAUGCCUUGGCAAAGCUUUCUAUCAAUACAUUCUAGAAUGUUUCGAUAGAUUUGGGCCAGGAGGCAUUCUAUAUGAAAACUCUCGAACAUUACAAGAACGUAUUGAUAGAUUUAAAAAGAUGGAUAUUUUGUAAAAAAGGUAUUUAUAGAUUUUCUUGAUCGAUCGAUACAUUUCAAGCAUAAAGCAUUCUUUUAAAUUUACUUCAAUAUGUUGGUACAUGUAUCGAUAGAUCUGAUGAAAAUUCGUGAAAAUGUAUCAAUGCAUGAUUGUAAGUCAGCAAAAAUAAAAGAGACUUUGGGCAUUCCACCCAUUUGAAAACACAAGGAAACAAAAGCUUUCCCUCCUUGCCUUUGAAACCCUAAAACCCCCUAGUAGAUUGGAACUAAUUUGGAGUACUUGGAAGCUUGGAAAUUCAUACUUAAGGUAAGAUCAAGCUUCCUAACAUUUUGAAUUACAUUUUAAUCGGUUCAAAAAUGAGAAUUUGACUAUGGUUUCAUCUCAAUUAUCUUCUCCUUGAGUUGUUGGGAUUUUGGAGUCUUAAGGGCUUAGAAUAGCUGCCAAGGUGAGGAAACCUAACUGUUUUGAACAUUGGAAACAAUGAAACCUAUGAUUUGGAUUGGUAGUUGGAUUUAGAAGCUCAGUUAGGCUUAGAAAAUCUGUGCAUGCUUUGAAAAAAGCUAAAGGUCUAGAAUUUAUGGAUUUGUUAGGUGAAGUGGGAACUUAGAGCUGUUGAUGAACUGAAAUUCUAUGUGGAAUGAUGGACGCAGUGUUUAGCUGAGUGUGAUGUCUUGGCUUCUUCUUGGAAGAAUGUUGCAGCACUAAAACUUUACUAUUUAGCAAUGUGAGUUACGUUAGAGAUAUUCUAGGUCAGUGGGGCAUUUUAUCUAGAAAUUAAGAUUUGAUGUAUGUAUGCACAAAUGUAUGCAUGUGCACUGCCAUGAAACAUGAUUGGUUGAUAAAAUGCUUAGAUGAACUAUGCAUAGGCCGAUGGGUUGAUUGAGCUCUAUUAUAGCUAUGUAUGUUAAUAAUAAAAACCUGUUUGAUAUUGGGUGAGCCAUGUGGUGGUGAUUGAGCUUGACUGUCUUAGUAUUCGCGACUAAAAAGUCUAUUGACCAUGCCUCUGCGCUUGUAUAAAACUUAUAACUUGAUACCUUUUUCUGUGGUAGCGUAUGAUUAUUGCUAAUUCUACGAAAUAAUGUUAUUAGUGAACUAUGGAAAAUCUGAAUUAUGAAAGUUGAUUGAGUUGCAUUCGUAAUUAUGCAUGUAUGAUGCCAAAUGGCUAUGUUAAUGACUUUUGCACAUGUAAUGGCGACACAAUUCCUAAUGGUAAUUGGUUUCGUCUUACGAGUGCUUUCUGGACGAUGAUAUGGUCUAGUUAGAAGGUGUCAUAGUCCCUGUGGUCUUGCUUACCAUUAGCAGUUUAGGCGUUGGACGUGUUUUGUUUACUUGGGAAGACCCUUCUCUUGUUACCAUCUUGAUGAUAACACAAUUUAAUUAGUUGACUUGACUGUCUUUUCAAUCCAAGACAAGUGAGCGAGAAAAACUGCACCAUUGCUCCAUGAAACCUUACAACUCUUAGACGUGAGUCUUGACCUCAUCGAUAGUUCCUAUCCUUGCUACACUCCUUGUGGAAAAAGCCUACCACUCGGCAGAAGAUAUGGUAUGCAUCUCCCUCAUCAUACAUGCACCUUAACAUAGGGUCAUGUAUCUCUUAAAUUGUAGGAUGAAGAUGAAGUCUUCGGUUUACAUUGAUGCUUUCUCAUUGCACCAAUCGAUGUUCCUCUCCACAUUAUUUCAUUCUUCAGUCAAAUUAUUCAUUGUUAACAACUAACGGAAAUGUAAGUGUGGAUUAUUCACGUGACAUGUUAAAUAAUUUUUACCAUGAUAUUUUAUUACUGUUAACAGUACAAUCUGAUAAAAAGAAUAAAAUGAAACCAUUUUAAAAUAUUAUGUGUAAAAUAUAUGAAAAAAGAUUAUAGAUUUAAUUUGAUUACAUUGCUGCCGGACUUACCAAAAUAAUUGUAGAAGCAUGUCUAAUGAUUAUAGGCAUAGCUCUUCAAAGAAAAAUACUGUUUUAUACUUAACAAAAAGAUAAAUGUAAAAUAUAAAAUUGAUCAAUUUUGUUUAGAAUUAUUAUUUUAUAUAUUUUGAAAUUUUGAAAUUUCAAAAUAUAUAAUAUUAUUUAAGUCGUAUUAUAUAUUAUAUAAUUGAAGGGUUAUAUUAAUCGCCUUACUGUGCAGAUAUACUUGGAUGAAUUAUAAAGAUUUCUUUUCUAUUAGUUUCGCUACGUAUCAAUUGGUUGGACACAUUUUAUAAUAAAUAUAAGAGACCAUCAUAGUGCUUCUUCACAAACUAGGACCUUAAUCUCCUUCUCUCCCGCUGAAAUUUUAGGAUGCCAAGAGCAAAACUUCCAUUAUUUUGCCUCUUGGCUUUUGCUUUAUCUCUAUUCCCCGACUGAGGCUCUUCUAUCUGUGGAAAUGUUACCAUCAAAAAGCCCUUUAAGUUAAAAAGCCAACCUCUCAGGUGUGGAAACCGUGAGCUAGUAGUCGAGUGUGACGAUAAUAACCACACCAUUUUCCCCAUGAAAUAUGGGAAAUUCCUUGUCCAAGACAUCUCUUAUAAUAACGGUACAAUUCAACUUUUAGACGAGAGUCUUGGCAAUGAUAACUGCUCCAUUCCUCAUAGGUCCUAUCCUUUGUACAUCCCUUUUGCGAAAAAACAACGUCUCUAUGAAGAUACCACUGAAUUUAGCAUCAUGUAUCUCGUAAAGUGCACGAUGCAGAUCAACUACUCUCGGGUUUAUAUCGAUGCUUUUCGUUGCACCAAUACUCCUUCCUCUCUACCUCCUUACUUGUAUUUUUUGGAUAAAAAAACAGCAAAGUCUGAUUUCCAUGAGUCAUGCAGAAUUGAAGCCCAGGUUCCAAUCAUGGUUGCCAGUAUCACUGGCCUCUCUACUUCUGAUAUUUACACAAAACUGUUGACGGGGUUCCGACUCUCAUGGUGGGAUUAUGCUUAUCAGUUUGGCUGGCUGCGGUGGGACUCAAUUGUUAACGUGUGAGGAUCUUUAAGUAUUCCAAAAUAUUUGGUGCUGUUUAGUUUUUGGAAAUGUUAACUAUUUUUAUUAUAAAUAAACAAAUAAGAUAAAAAUUUUAGUCUUUAUUUCUUUUUAAAAAGUUGACAACAUUUUUAAAUUACUAUUUUAACUAUGUAUAUUAAUUUGUUAUCUAAAAUUUAAACUCGAUAUUUUUAAAGAAUUACAGACUUUAAUUCUAUUAAUGUAGUGUCUACUUCAGACUUCAAUUAUUUCCUUUAAAUAUGUUUAGUGUAAAAUUUAAAGAUAAGGAUUUAAAGCAUUUUUAACAGUAAAAGUGUGCAUUCCAUUUAACUUAUUAAGGAUUAGCGGUUUUGAUGUUCUUUCUUGAAUAUUAAUUAUAGAUUGCUAUGGGUUUUAAAAAAAAAAGGAAGUAUAGAUUGCUAUCCUUGGUCAACCUUUUGCUGGCUCCGCUGUUUAUAUUUAUUGAAAGCAACGCGGCUCUUCUGCUAGGCAUCCCAACAGAGGAUUCAUUGGUAGAUAACAAAGGUGUUCUUUCUUUUCUGAGUUUGUUACUAUUUUGAUUAUUAUUGGAUUUACCUUUACUUUCCUAGGAUCUAUUAACACUUAGUUCUCGAAUCGGUAAAAUCUUAGCAUGAAUCCAGAUUUAUAUUUAUAUAUCAUUAAUUUAACAAUUGUAUUUCGUAAUCUAUUUACUUAUAUCAUGCAUGAUAAAUUUUAAGUUAAUUGAAAAUAUUUAAUUAUUUAAAUGAGAACAUUAAAAUUUUGACCAUUAAAUAUAUAUUAAAAAACCAAUAUUCUUGAGCAAUACGAUAUGGAUUAUCACAUUGAUUUGAAAUUUUAAAUGUAUGAUGAGUACGAAUAGUGUAUGAAAUUAUAAAAAGGUGUAAAACUUAAUUAAUUUUUAACUUGAGCCCUCAAAUUUAUAUAGUUUGUAUGAGUAUUGCAUAUAAAGUAUAUGUAUGUACAAAGAGAUUCCAAUAAAGGAUAAAAUUAUUUAAUAAGAGACGAUAUACUAUAAAUAAUUCAUGAAUAAUAUUGAACUACAUUAAUUGGGUUUUUUUCAGUUAGGUAUUUCUAUGUUGUUACGAUUUUUUUGGUCAAAAUAAAAAUUUUGUCCAAGUUUAUCAUAUUACUUGAAUGAGUACAAUUUUGUCAAUAUACUUUUAAAUUUGUUAAAAGAGAUCAAAAGUUACAAAAUGAACUAAAAUGUACAAUGAUAAAUAUUACACUCGUUAAAAAAAUAAAUAGUAAAUUUGAUCCAUCACCUUAAGUCUAGUGGUGAUAAAUUUAAACCUUAUCUCAAAUUAUUUUAUGAAGUUUGUUUGUGAAAUAUGGCAACAUAUACACAAAUUAAGUUAGUAACUAGCAUGUACAUAUUCUAUAAUCUUGUUGUCCAACUAAUUGGUUUAUAUAUAUGUUUUGUACUCUCUUUUUUUUUUUAUGAGAAACAGGAAUUAUAUUGUUAAGAACUUUUUUGGAGAUAACUUGCUUGAUUGUAUUUGUUAUACACAAAUUAAAAAUGUGGCAUUUGUCUAUGGAUGACAAGAUUGAGAAUUUUCUUCAGAGUCAAAACAAUUUAAUGCCUAUAAGAGACUCUUAUUCUGAAAUAAAAAGAAUAACAGAUGGCUUCAACAAUAAAUUAGGUCAAGGAGGAUAUGGCUCUAUAUUUAAAGGAAAACUUCGAAGUGAUCAACUUGUUGCAAUAAAAUUGUUAAACAAAUCAAAAGCUAACACCCAAGAUUUCACCAAUGAAGUUGCAACUAUUGGAAGGAUUCAUCAUGUUAAUGUGGUAAGACUUAUUGGAUUUUACGUGAAGGGAUCAAAACAAGCUCUUGUAUAUGACUUCAUGAAGAAUGGGUCCUUGGAUAAAAUUAUAUUUUCAACUGAAAAUAACACUUUGAGUUGAGAAAAAAUGUUUGAGAUUGCAUUGGGAGUGGCUCAAGGUAAUGACUAUUUACAUAAAGGCUGUGAAAUGCAAAUUUUUCACUUUGAUAUCAAGCCACAUAACAUUCUUCUAGAUGAGAAUUUUACUCCAAAAGUUUCAGAUUUUGGCCUCGCAAAUUUGUAUUCAGUGGAUGAUGAUAUUAUUUCUCUCACAGCAGCACGAGGUACGCUAGGAUAUAUGGCUUCUGAAUUGUUUUACAAAAAUAUCAGAGGUAUAUCAUAUAAAGCUGAUGUUUAUAGUUUUGGAAUGAUGAUAAUGGAAAUUAUCGGAAGGAGAAAAAAUUUGAAUGCCUCUGCUGAACAUUCAAGUCAAAUUUAUUUUUCAUCAUAGAUUUUUGAUCAAUUAGAUGAAGGAGAUACCAUGGAGCUUGGAGAUGUGACAGAAAUUGAAAACAAAAUUAUGAGGAAAAUGGUAAUAGUAACCUUAUGGUGCAUACAGAUGAAGCCCACAGAUCGUCCUUCAAUGAGCAAAGUCUUGAAGAUGCUUGAAAGUGAAGUUGAGCUCCUUGAAAUGCCUCCCAAGCCUUCUUUCUCCGGAAAUAUCAACUAAAGAUAGUAAAAAUUCUCCCUGCACACGUGGCAAUCGGCCUUCCUCAGCUACCU
rnacentral:lncRNA from 1 species